rnacentral:rRNA from 1 species
GUGCAGCAGUCGCGAAACCUCCGCAAUGCGGGAAACCGCGACGGGGGGACCCCGAGUGCCGUGGCAACGCCACGGCUUUUCCGGAGUGUAAAAAGCUCCGGGAAUAAGGGCUGGGCAAGGCCGGUGGCAGCCGCCGCGGUAAUACCGGCGACCCGAGUGGUGGCCGCUAUUAUUGGGCCUAAAGCGUCCGUAGCCGGGCCCGUAAGUCCCUGGCGAAAUCCCACGGCUCAACCGUGGGGCUUGCUGGGGAUACUGCGGGUCUUGGGACCGGGAGAGGCGGGGGGUACCCCUGGGGUAGGGGUGGAAAUCCGUAUAAUCCCCAGGGGGGACCGCCAGUGGCGAAGGCGCCCCGCUGGAACGGGUCCGACGGUGAGGGACGAAGGCCAGGGGA